UGGUCUAGCCUUGUUUCCCAUUGGCUACAGGUUGGUCUAGCCCUGUUUCUCAUUGGCUACAGGUUGGUCUAGCCCUGUUUCCCAUUGGCUACAGGAUGGUCUAGCCCUGUUUCCCAUUGGCUACAGGUUGGUCUAGCCCUGUUUACAAGCUGGUCUAGCUAUGUUUCUCAUUGGCUACAGGCUGGCCUGGCCCUGUUUCCGAUUGGCUACAGGCUGCUCUAGCCCUGUUUCUCAUUGGCUACAGGUUGGUCUAGCCCUGUAAGUGCUGUAUUCUGCCAGGGCCCAGCACCCCUCUCUAUUGAUUGGCUACAGUCUGGUUGAGCCCAUUGACCAGUCUAGAUAAUGACCACAGCCCGUUACAUGCUUUGGCCACUACUAGCCAGUAUUAGUGACUGGCCCUCAGCCUAUCAUUGCCGUCCGGGAGCGCUAACAGUCAUAAGUGAUUUUUUUCUUCAUUGUCCAACAGGGUGUGUAGGGGCAAGGCCAGCCCCGUGCUGAUUGGCUGGGGGUAGCACAUUUGUAGCACAUUCAUGUCCCAGAAUAAAAACCCCACUGGCAGUAUCAGUAUAUAUGUGUGUGUAUUCUGUGCAUGUGUGGGACAUAUGGCAGCCCCCAUGGCGCCCACAGGUACCAGUGCCGGGGCCACACAGGGGCUAGGGGCCAGCUCUCACUGAUGGCAGCUCCUCCUGUAUCUCCCUCGUGGGCUCCUUGGCCACUUGGGCAGAUUCCAUCAGUAGGUGCUGACUCUCAGCGGUGCUGUACCUGCCAUGGAGGCCCCCAGGUGUGAUACAUGUAUGAAAUAAAUACCCCCCCCAUAGACUGUUGGGGCCACACGCUGCCCCCCAUCCUGUAAGGCAGUUCCAUGUAUCUACUGAAGGACUACCUGCACCCAAUGUCACUGUAUAAGGGUCCCUGCAUAAAACAUGACUGACUUCCCUUUAUUGAUUCACUUGACUCCAGCUGUACUUUUUUCAGACUGGGCACCAAUUGGACUUGCCACCCAGUCUGGGAUCUCAGUGUUGGAAACCAUAUCUAGAAUGGGUCGUAUUCUCAAGUUCCAGGUACCCAAGGCUCUGUACCCGCUCAGUGUGGGUAAGAACACAAGUGGGUAUGAUCGUAAUCCUUAGUAUGUAAGCUGGGGGUGCCGGCCCAUAACUGUAUUGGGUUUCCAAACACACCCCACCCAUGGGAUCCCGCCGGAGUAGCCAAUGGCGCCAGACCCACUCCCGUUCCGUAUUUCUGUAGAACCUUCAUGUUCUGCUGAACUGGCUCGGCCGGUUCCACACGUUCAGGGUCAGACAGGGAUCCAAAGCCUGCGGCCAGGGCCGGACACCAGCCAAUCAGAGUGCAGCCUGAGAAAGGGAAAAUUAGAGUGAUUUCUCCAGAACGCGUGUUACUGUGAGCAACCACCCAGACUAGUACCUACGGGCUGUACCCAAGAGCUGACAAUCUAGAAACACCGCACUUUCUCAUUGGAACACAGGCUACAGUUGCCAUUGUAACUUGAUUGGUGCUAAUAACCACUUGCAACAAGCAAGGGGACGCUACCAGUGGGGUGAAAGGCAUCUCUGAGCAGUAUGGGGGCACCAAGGGCACAGAAACAUGGGCACCGCUCUCUUAAACUGCACCCCUGCAGUUACCGCUAGCAACCAAUGAGAAAUUCAUUUUCAUCAUCAUAUGACAAGUUAAAAAAUAAAGCAAAGAUCUGAUUGGUUGCUGUA